UAUUUAUGUAGUUGUAUGAAGUCUUUGCCCUUCAAAAUUUCAUUACACUCAUUGGUAGUGAGUAUAUUUUUGCCGAAACAAAUUAUUCUUUCAUGUGAAAAAAUUGGACAGAGGGCAAAUUACAUAUUGUACAAAUGGCGUCUGUAUUAUUUCUAAACGCUCUUGCAUUAAUAUUGAGAAGACCACCACCGCGAAAUGUCAAACUCGUCAUCUUGUAUGAGUUCAUAUCCACAAAAUAUGAUGGAAUGGAAAUAUUGGAGAUUUGGAUAUACGUCAUGGAAUUGAGACUGCGUAGCCCUCUCCGUCCAUAAUGAACGUUUACGUAAAAUUAAACACCCUUAUACAGACUUGUGCAAUGCAACUAGCUCUUGGCCUCUAAGGCUGGAGUCCAUAUCAAUCUCUAGAUCCGAAGUUAUAAUUUACUUGGAUUUACCAUUUAUGUCCAGCGCUGUCCACAGGCCUACGACGACGGGAUUGCUCCAAAUAUGACAUCUUGGUAAUUGCUAUUAAAGGUGAUAUUUCAGUUUUACAUAUGUAGGUAGGCUAGUAGGUAUGGGAAAAUUGUGGCAAUUGAUUGUUUUGAAACAAAGACUUUACUAAACCAAAGCUUAAAACAAUUCGCAGGUCUCGCAAGGUGGGGCCUUCUUUUGCUUGUAUUAUUUUUAUGGAAAUAUCUUAGCUUCGGGACAAGAAAACAGCAAUCGGUUCGGAAUUCAAAUGAACAACAUUUGUACAGAAUUUCUCCGAAAAUGAAAAUUUUCUAAAGUGACAGGAAAAUAUUCCAAACUGAAUAUUUUGAAAAGUUCCGGUUGGGUAUCUGUGAUGUUACUGGGCGAACACGGCUCCUAAUCCCGGUUGAACCAUCCCGCUCCUCCUCAGGUGGGCA
rnacentral:sRNA from 1 species